rnacentral:rRNA from 1 species
AGUCGAGGGGCAGCAUAAAUUAGUUUACUAAUUGGUGGCGACCGGCGCACGGGUGCGUGACGCGUAUGCAACCUACCCUGUACUGGGGGAUAGCCCGGAGAAAUUCGGAUUAAGACCCCAUAGUAUUAUGAAAUCGCAUGAUUUUAUACUUAAAGGUUACGGUACAGGAUGGGCAUGCGUCCUAUUAGCUAGAUGGUGAGGUAACGGCUCACCAUGGCUACGAUAGGUAGGGGGCCUGAGAGGGUGAUCCCCCACACUGGUACUGAGACACGGACCAGACUCCUACGGGAGGCAGCAGUGAGGAAUAUUGGUCAAUGGGCGAAAGCCUGAACCAGCCAUGCUGCGUGCAGGAAGAAGGUCCUAUGGAUUGUAAACUGCUUUUAUUUGGGAAUAAACCUCUGGUCGUGGCCGGAGCUGAAGGUACCAAAUGAAUAAGCACCGGCUAACUCCGUGCCAGCAGCCGCGGUAAUACGGAGGGUGCAAGCGUUAUCCGGAAUCAUUGGGUUUAAAGGGUCCGCAGGCGGGCUUAUAAGUCAGUGGUGAAAGCCUACAGCUUAACUGUAGAACUGCCAUUGAUACUGUAGGUCUUGAAUUCGGUCGAAGUGGGCGGAAUGUGUAGUGUAGCGGUGAAAUGCUUAGAUAUUACACAGAACACCGAUAGCGAAGGCAGCUCACUAGGCCUGGAUUGACGCUCAGGGACGAAAGCGUGGGGAUCAAACAGGAUUAGAUACCCUGGUAGUCCACGCCGUAAACUAUGAUUACUCGUUUUCGGCGAUAUACAGUCGGAGACUAAGCG